AGUGGUUAUCGAAUCCGACUAGGAACCAUGAGGUUGCGGGUUCGGUCCCUGCCCUUGCUCAGUGGGUUAACGAUCCGGCGUUGCCGUGAGCUGUGGUGUAGGUUGCAGACGCAGCUCGGAUCCCGCGUUGCUGUGGCUCUGGCGUAGGCCGGUGGCUACAGCUCCGAUUGGACCCCUAGCCUGGGAACCUCCAUAUGCUGCGGGAGCGGCCCAAGAAAUAGCAACAACAACAAAAAAAAGAAAAAAGAAAAAAAAAAAAAAAAAAAAAAAAGAAAGAAAUUACCAACAUAUAUACUCCUCCCCACCAUCAACACACACACGUACACUUCCCCCUUUCAUCUUCCUCUACUGGAGUAUUUUUUUUUUUCUGGUCUUUUCUAGGGCUGCACCUGCAGCAUAUGGAGGUUCCCAGGCUAGGGGUCGAAUCAGAGCUACAGCUGCCAGCCUACACCACAGCCACAGCAACACAGGAUCUGAGCCGCAUCGUUGACCUACACCACAGCUCACAGCAACGCCGGAUCCUUAACCCACUGAGCAAGGCCAGGGAUCGAACCCACAACCUCAUGGUUCCUAGUUGGAUUCGUUAACCACUGAGCCACGACGGGAACUCCUACUGGAGUAUUUUAAUGUAAAUCCUAGACAUCAAAAAUUUCCGACUGUAACGGGUUUAAUAAUAGCCAAAGCACGGCAUGUCAUUCUUGCUGUUAACCUGCUCUUUCUUACUUGGACUUUGCCUUGUUUUAUAUGUGUUUGCUAUUAAAUCAAAGAAGAGGAUGAAUUAUAAGAAACCAAUAAGGAAAAAUAUUUACUCUCCUCAAUGUAAAACCUGCUUUUCUCAGCUCCCCAGGUGACCCCAGGGUUGCCAGGGUCCCUUUGGCAUACCUGCCCCCCUCUGAGGGGGUAGAGGGAGUCUCCCACCAUGUGUUGGUCACCUGACCCUUGUGGAUUUCUGGGCAAAUGCUCUGAGGACCUUCCAGGUAGAUCAUAUGUCUCACAAUUUCUUUGCUCUCUUUUUUCUCUAGCUCUGCCUUUACAGUUUUCAACUUUUCCAGGAGCAGGAGAAAAUGAACACAGCCCGGGGAUUUGUGUUGUUCGAGGAUGUAUCUGUGGACUUCACCCAGAAGGAGUGGCGGCUGCUGGUUGAUGCUCAGAGGCUCCUGUACAGAGACGUGAUGCUGGAGAACUACAGGCACCUGGCAUCCCUGGGUAAGCACAGCUUCCUGAGCGGGUGCAUUUCCUGUCUUACAGGGUGUCAUGAGUUUGAGACUUGAGAUGCUAGAUUCAGAGACCUCUUAGGGGAUGGAAAGGAUGUAUUCUAGUCUCUCUCCCUGUGAAAGGGUCUUCCUUGAUGAGGACCCCAUCAUUGUAGGGUUCUCCCCUGUUGUUCUUCCAAAGGCUUGAAUCCCAAGCAACUUUGCCAAGUGCCAUGUCAUUUCCCACAACAAACCUGAGCUGAUAUUCAAGUCGGAGCAGGGAGAGGAACCACGGAUAUUAACGGGAGGACUCCCAAGUCACAGCCACCCAGGUGAGUUAAUGAGGUCAGAUGGAAGCGGAAACUGGAUCCAAAGUGGCCCAGUUAAGAGGUUGGUGUCUUUGAAACAGGUUUUAGUAAUCUCUCUUAGAGCCUCCAGACUUUUUGAAGUGACUUAAGACUGAUGACUACCAUUCCUUAGACAUCAAACCUCCAAAUACCAUUCUCAUAUAUAAAUGUUCUUUGUUUUCUAUUUGACGUUUUUUCAUUUAGGUGCUUUAUUGAUUCCCUUAUGUUGUUUUCAGUUCAAGCUAUAUUUUUGUAAUGAGAAGCCUACACACUGAAAAGAGAGUUAGAAGCAGAGAAGAAAACAACAUCAGAAGAUGCUUUCUAGAAUCUUAAUUAAGCCUUUGAAUGAAUAGGUAACCCUCCAGUUAGAUCAAAUAGGAUAAAAGAAAGUGAUCAGGUGAAGCUAAUUCCAGUGAUGUUAGCCAUUGAGAUUUAUGCAAGAAGCAAACAUUCAUACAGUGAGAGAGGUGAUUUCCAAUGGACACUAUCCCAAGAUGAAAGAGUCACCCUCUAAAUAUUACUCAUUGCAAAUGAUGUUUGGUUGCAAAUGUCUGCUGGUGAACCUUAAAUAUAGAUAUCUACACAUAAUAUUGCAUUAGAUGUAGUGUCAAAUACAAACAAGCAUAUUGCCUCCUUGACUUUUAUAGAGAGUUGAUUGGUUUUUGUAGAAUCCAAUUGCUGCCUUCCUCAUCCUAGAUCUUCAUGUCUUUGUUUUUUUUUUUCCUCUUUUCAAUAAUGGCCUCCUUUUACCUUCCCUCCUGUGCCAAACACUCUGUAAAUAUGCAUCUAUCAAUGCAUCAUUUUAUUCAAUUAUUUACUAAGCACCUACCAUGCACCAGUCACAUUCUAAGCUCGGGAGAUACAAAACCAAAGUCUCAGCUCCUAUCAGUAGAUCCAAAAAGCCAAUAAAUGGGUAACAUGGCUGGGAGUAAUCA
rnacentral:lncRNA from 1 species